CCAUCCUCACCGCCGACCUUUUUCCUCCCCCUCCCCUCUUGCGCGAAGCUGACCCCCUUCUCCUCCCCUUAUCUCUUCAUCUCCCCCAACCUGACAGCACCGCCUCACGAUGCCUCAUCUCCCACGCGUACAAACCGUCAGUCAAGGAAAACCUCGAACUCUCUCCUUUCCCCAAUCUCGUACCGUCGCCUCUGUUCACCGCCGCAUUCCCCUUUCCUCUUCGCACUGCCACCGACCACUCUCUUCUCCACCUGACCAUCGCCGAUGCAGUCCCUCUCAGCCGGCGAUGUCCUCGCGACAUAGAAGUCGUAGCAUCAUCUCCUUCUUCUAUGCGGUGCCGACCAUCGGGUUCUCCCAAUCUCGCCGACGCUGAGGUUGUUCAGCUUGAUCGUCGUGUCGUCCUCCUCUACUGCGAUUUGGCACUACAACAGCCACACUCGAGCCCUAGCUUUGAAUCAUUGUCGCACCCUUUCUUCUUGGUCUGAUUCCGCUCGUCGCCGUCUCCCUUUGCACUGAGCUGGCGCCACCAUCUUGACCUAACGCCAGUAGCCGCAGCCACCAAAUCUUCUGCUCCGGCCAUUCCCUUAACUAUAGAGUUAUGCUAGACUUCUUUCUUGGAUCCAACAGGAAGCAUCAACAGUGAAUCUCCGGCAGAAAUAAGUUGUUGGAUAAACCCUUGUAGCUCCAUCCUUGGUUCCAGCAGCAGCUCCACCAGACCAUCCUUUCCGGCAGCAAGGUCCAGUGACUCAAUCAGGAAGCAUCUAAGAUUCAGGGACCAAAUUCAGCCCUGCAAGAGCACUGUUUAAAGACAGUUUCAGCAUUCAUACCUAAACACCAAACAAAAUGUUCAAUGGCACCAUAAGAUACACAAACAUUUUUUAUUCAUGCAGCUGCAUUUCACUAGUUAAAAUAAGAAAUGAAGUAUCAGAUUUCAGAACAGGAACUUUCAGCAAAAAGAUUGGCUCAACAACUAAGAACUAUACUUUCAAAAAUAUAUCAUCUCAAUGUUGAGAUUUCAGAUUACAAUUCCAGCCAUUAGACCUUUUCAAAUUAUAAUUACCAUUAAAUUUGCAUGCAUCCAAACACCUUUUAUCCAUGACAGAUACAAAUCAAAACCAAACACAAAAUUGAUGUUGAUUCAGACUUUUUGAUUCUGAUUCUAGAUCACAAUAUCAAACCUUGGAAUUCAAAGUAAUCUAGGCUUGAGAAUUGAAAAGUUAAGCUUGUCCAUGUGUCUCAUUUAGCACUGAAUAAACAAUAGAAUAAGUUCUAAACAAUCCUGAAUAGAAUUUCAAUUGGCACAAAAAUGAGUUCUGCUCUUACUGUUAAAAUAAUUUUCCCCUUCCAGAAAUUUUGAUUAAUUGGAAGGGCAUUUAUCAGGUCAAUUAUGCAAUUCCCAGCUUUAGACUGAUUCUGAAACUAUAAACUCAGUUUCCAGAUUCCAUGUUUCAAAAUUUGAAUUCAUCCAAAUUCCAAUCUAUAGAACACUUGGACAAUUGAAACACCAUUUGUUUAGAGCUCCACUUAGUUCUUCAAUGAUCAUAACUCGCAACAAGUUGUUUAAAUACAGAAACACUGAUAUCCAGAUUUUUUCCUUGUUGAUCAACAAGAAAGCAUUUAUAUGGCUGGAAUCUAAAGGGUGGAACUUGAUGCCCUAAUGCUAAGACCUAGAUGCUGGGAAAAGUUCAGCAAAAACAAGAUCAGAUCUAAUGCUGCAAAUUCCAGUAGCUAAACACAUCUCAGAGUCUUCUCAUCCAGUUGUUGAGUUCAUAAAAUGCAGU